GCUUGCUCCUCUGACGUUAGCGGCGGACGGGUGAGUAACACGUGGAUAACCUACCUAUAAGACUGGGAUAACUUCGGGAAACCGGAGCUAAUACCGGAUAAUAUAUUGAACCGCAUGGUUCAAUAGUGAAAGACGGUUUUGCUGUCACUUAUAGAUGGAUCCGCGCCGCAUUAGCUAGUUGGUAAGGUAACGGCUUACCAAGGCGACGAUGCGUAGCCGACCUGAGAGGGUGAUCGGCCACACUGGAACUGAGACACGGUCCAGACUCCUACGGGAGGCAGCAGUAGGGAAUCUUCCGCAAUGGGCGAAAGCCUGACGGAGCAACGCCGCGUGAGUGAUGAAGGUCUUCGGAUCGUAAAACUCUGUUAUUAGGGAAGAACAAAUGUGUAAGUAACUAUGCACGUCUUGACGGUACCUAAUCAGAAAGCCACGGCUAACUACGUGCCAGCAGCCGCGGUAAUACGUAGGUGGCAAGCGUUAUCCGGAAUUAUUGGGCGUAAAGCGCGCGUAGGCGGUUUUUUAAGUCUGAUGUGAAAGCCCACGGCUCAACCGUGGAGGGUCAUUGGAAACUGGAAAACUUGAGUGCAGAAGAGGAAAGUGGAAUUCCAUGUGUAGCGGUGAAAUGCGCAGAGAUAUGGAGGAACACCAGUGGCGAAGGCGACUUUCUGGUCUGUAACUGACGCUGAUGUGCGAAAGCGUGGGGAUCAAACAGGAUUAGAUACCCUGGUAGUCCACGCCGUAAACGAUGAGUGCUAAGUGUUAGGGGGUUUCCGCCCCUUAGUGCUGCAGCUAACGCAUUAAGCACUCCGCCUGGGAAGUACGACCGCAAGUG
rnacentral:rRNA from 1 species